rnacentral:rRNA from 1 species
UGGCGGACGGGUGAGGAAUACAUCGGAAUCUACUCUGUCGUGGGGGAUAACGUAGGGAAACUUACGCUAAUACCGCAUACGACCUACGGGUGAAAGCAGGGGAUCUUCGGACCUUGCGCGAUUGAAUGAGCCGAUGUCGGAUUAGCUAGUUGGCGGGGUAAAGGCCCACCAAGGCGACGAUCCGUAGCUGGUCUGAGAGGAUGAUCAGCCACACUGGAACUGAGACACGGUCCAGACUCCUACGGGAGGCAGCAGGG